rnacentral:rRNA from 1 species
CCUACGGGUGGCAGCAGUGAGGAAUAUUGCACAAUGGGGGAAACCCUGAUGCAGCCACGCCGCGUGAGUGAAGACGUCACUCUUUACUGUAAGCUCUAUCAGCAUGGAAAUAAAUGACUGUACCUGAGUGAGAAUCUACGGAUAACUACGGGACGGAAGCGGCGGGAAUACGUAGGGUGCAAGCGUGAUCCGGAUUUACUGGGUGUAAAGGGAGCGUAUACGGUUUGCCAAGUGUGGAGUUAAAUGCCGCAGCUCAACUGCGGAACUGCUGUGGAAACUGGCGGACUAGAGUGCGGAAGGGGUAAGCGGAAUUCGUGGUGUAGCGGUGAAAUGCGUAGAUAUGAGGAGGAACACCGGUGGCGAAGGCGGCUUACUGGACCGUAACUGACGCUGAGGCUCGAAAGCGUGGGGAGCAAACAGGAUUAGAUACCCCGGUAGUC